GUUGGUUUGAGUGUGUUGGCCAUGCAUGCUGCAGUAGGUUUGAGUGUGUUGGCCAUGCAUGCUGCAGUUGGUUUGAGUGUGUUGGCCAUGCAUGCGGAAGUUGGUUUGGGUGUGUUGGCCAUGCAUGCUGCAGUAGGUUUGAGUGUGUUGGCCAUGCAUGCGGAAGUUGGUUUGGGUGUUUUGGCCAUGCGGCAGUUGGUUUGGGUGUGUUACGGAAAUAAUCAGCUAGUGAGGGUACUAUUUACAAUUUAGCAACCUAGGCUAAAUGGCUCCCUAUUUACUACACCUCUUUCGAUGACA
ensembl:lncRNA